GACGAACGCUGGCGGCGUGCUUAACACAUGCAAGUCGAACGCUGAAGCUCAGCUUUUGUUGGGUGGAUGAGUGGCGAACGGGUGAGUAACACGUGAGUAACCUGCCUCCUUCUUUGGGAUAACGCCCGGAAACGGGUGCUAAUACUGGAUAUUCACUGGUCUUCGCAUGGGGGUUGGUGGAAAGGGUUUUUCUGGUGGGGGAUGGGCUCGCGGCCUAUCAGCUUGUUGGUGGGGUGAUGGCCUACCAAGGCUUUGACGGGUAGCCGGCCUGAGAGGGUGACCGGGCACAUUGGGACUGAGAUACGGCCUAGACUACGACGGGAGGCAGCAGUGGGGAAUAUUGCACAAUGGGCGCAAGCCUGAUGCAGCGACGCCGCGUGAGGGAUGGAGGCCUUCGGGUUGUGAACCUCUUUCGCUCAUGGUCAAGCCGCAACAAUGGUUGUGGUGAGGGUAGUGGGUAAAGAAGCGCCGGCUAACUACGUG
rnacentral:rRNA from 1 species